AAGCUAAACCUCAUUGACCAGAAGGGAUUCCUUCCGGUCGAUGAGGGAGAUAUCCCUCAUUGACCGGAAGGCAUCCCUUCCAGUUGAUGAGGAAGAUU
rnacentral:miRNA from 1 species